rnacentral:tRNA from 1 species
GGGGCCGUAGUCUAGCCUGGAUAAGGCACUUGCCUGCGGAGCAAGGAAUCCCCGGUUCAAAUCCGGGCGGUCCCGCCA